UGGCCCCGUGCUGGCCCCUUAGGGGGUCAUCUCUCACCACCUGCCUCACUUUCUAUCCUCCAGCCAUCCUUGAAUGAAUUGCGCUUUUCCCCUUCUGGGCCUUUGCCUGUACCCUCCCCCCAGCCCCCGCCUGAAUCACUGAAUGAACAGACGGAUGGGAAAGGAGCAUGCGUACAAGCCAUCGUCAUCAUUUAUCAUCAUUCAUCAUCAUUCAGUGCCUUCCUCUGUACCUCAUAACACGUCAUGAUGAAGGCAGCCAAGAGUAUCUUGGGAUUCUGGGGUAAAGUUGUGGGGACUUAUUCUAGGACUUGUCAUGACCAGCAUGAUGUGGUCCCUGGAAAUGUGACAGUCAAGGAAAAUCUCCUCCUCCCUCCCACUCCACCACCCAUUGUGAUGCAUCCAUUUGAAUAAAUGGGCUGCAGCCUGAGGUCCAUCUCCGAUCAUGGAUGGACUGGAUCUCGCCCAUAGAGAGCUUUUAUAAUUGCCACUUGGAGGCCUGAGUCCAGCCUGCUGUGCGGCAGUGGGAGGGAUGUUUCCUGGCCUGCUCCCUUUGACUGGAGAAGGAAGAUACAGAUCAGACGGAGGUGAGCUGCUCUUGUUGGAGGUCUUGGGGAGGAAAUGAAGAGUCUGGAGAUUCUUGGCCACCUGGGAGCAUAGAACAAGUUUUAGAGUCAGCCGGGUAGGGAAUGGAAUUCUCACUUCUUCACCACUCAGCUGGGCGACAUCAGGCAAGUGACUUAACCUCUCUGAGCCUCCAGGUCCUCAUCUGGAAGAUGGGAACCCCUAUCUAGUCUCACAGGUCAAGGAAACCUUCAUUACUCAUUGCCAACGGUUCACGGGAAUCCUGGCCACCCCAUCUUGAGUCCUAAGCUCGGGGUCAUUUUGCUGCAGUGGGAGUGAAGGUGGAGGCUGGAGGCUUAGGGGGGAGUAGACAAGUCACCCUUUGGGCCCAACAGCAAAUUGGGGCAAAAAUGGAUAAGAGUCAUUUUGCAUGAAUGCAGUCUGAAUUAGUGAGAAGUGUGAAGUGUGGCCCACUGUCAAAGGCAGGUUAGUUUUACUCUUCUCAAACCCAUGCUUUCAUACUGCAAUACAAGCUAAUUCAGCAAAGAGUUGCUAAUUGGAUGUCUUUGGAAAAUUGGCUUUCUCGGAUGGAUAAGACUGAUUUGCAGAUGCCAUUCUCAUUGCACAUCUGAUAACGGGUACUUCUGAGGUACUUGUGACGAAUCCAGGAGAGACUGAGCCAACAGCAGGGAGCACAUGCACCAAAGGCAGUUUCCCCAUUGAAACACUUACUGUCUCCCAUCGCAGCAAUUAUUUCCAAAGCAGCCUGGAGGAAAGAUUGUCUGCCUUCUGCAAGGCCCCAGAGGCCAGGGCUACGGUGCCUUCUUGGAGGCAGCCAUUGUUGCCGGCUAAGUGCUCUCUGUGGACAUACAGGGCCCGCCCGCAGGUGACGUGUGUAACCUGGGCCCACCCUGUGGCGGUACCUAUAGCAGGAAGGGAGAUGGGAAUCCUAGUGCCCGCUCUAGUGUGAGCAGAUGGGAGAAUAUUCACAUGUAAUAAAAGGCCAAGUAGGGGGCGGAGCAAUACGUUACCAACGGAGUCAAUCAUCACACUUCUUGGGUCCGAGGAAGAGGGGAAGAAAAUAAACAUCUUUUGAGCUUCUAUAAGAUGCCGCGCUCUGCGAUAGGUGCUGGGGAUUCAAAGAUAAGCUGGACAAAGUCCAACAGGGACCCCAACUUGUGAUGGAGAGUGACAGGUGAAGCAGCGGCAAGAUGAAGACGUCACAGCUGGAAGGAGUUUGUGCCCAGUGCUUGUGACGGGACAAGAGGAGUCCCACUGAGCACGUGGGAGGUAGCGGCGUCUCACAGAAGCGAUCCUUAAUGACGUUUACCGAUCACUCACUGUGGCCCAAGCAUCCUGAUAAACACUUUCACAACACUCUUAAUUUGCCCAAUAAAAUACCAUUAUCCUCAUUUUGCAGAUAUGGAAACCGGCUUUAUUUGUGAGAUUCAGCAGAGGAUUAUGUCCUGUACUAAGUGUGUGUCUGCGUGUGUGUCUGCGUGUGUGUACAGCAUUUCAGCUGCCUAAAGGACUGCUCAGUUGUAUGGGCUCCCUCCAAGUUCCUGAAAAGCCCUAGCAAUGUGGUCACGUGUUUUGGUAAAAUUUACGAAAGUGAAAUAUUUCAUGGCAAUCGGUUAGGACGGUUGUCCUUCCACGCUGACUUCUCUGUCACACUUCCCUUGAUGUCGAGCGUGUCGAGUAGUUUGGGCAGUUUUGGCAUCUGGCUAGCUGAGGAGAGGUUGCAUUUUGGAUACAUUUAUUUUGGGUUUAAUGGGAUACGUCUAGACGGAUUUGAGUCACUUCUGUGCAGAGUUAAAUAUUGCUAGCCACUCUGGCGUAGGAAUGGCUUCAGGACACCCCUACUGCCCAUCAUACCAGCUCCCUGGAUGUGGUCACGUGAGUUGCAGGGCUGGGGCACAUAAUAACGUGAGUGGGUCCUAUAGCACCCAAGGCGAUGUGCGUCACGGAGGAGAAACAGGCAUGAAAUGCACAGAGCUGGAGCUAGCCUACGGAAAGUUCUUCCAGUCAUGAGACGUGGAAAAAGAUUCAGUUUUCACUGAUGCCUGGUCCAAACGGACGUUUCCUCCUUGCAGAAAUGUGUCAGUGUGCACAUUAAUACAUUUGUACCAUUAUGCACCAUAUGUUUCUAUUGUUUUCCGAUUGGAGUCAUGCAAAAUAGAAUUGAUCAGAACCCCUGAACUUGUGAGGCCCAAGAAUGUAGCAGAACUGCAAACAAUGUCACAACACUGUUUGAUGACUCCAACUCUCAAUACUACCUUUUAUGAUCAACCAUGGUAAACAAAAGGCUAAAUUAUAUUUCUAUUCACUCUUAAGAAAAUUAUAUCACAAGACUGCUGCCCCGUGAAGAGGCAAUCACAGAGUAUGCAGCCACACAACGCAGGAAAAAAGUAUUAUAGAGGUGGGUCAAGCAGCUAAUUAGUGAAAAGAUUCUUAUUUUUCUGGCUACUGUGUUUGCAAUAUUUGUCAGCUAUUUUUAAAUUUACAGUCUGUUGUGA